rnacentral:rRNA from 1 species
GACGAACGCUGGCGGCGUGCUUAACACAUGCAAGUCGAACGGAAAGGCCCUGCUUUUGUGGGGUGCUCGUGUGGCGAACGGGUGAGUAACACGUGAGUAACCUGCCCUUGACUUUGGGAUAACUUCAGGAAACUGGGGCUAAUACCGGAUAGGAGCUCCUGCUGCAUGUUGGGGGUUGGAAAGUUUCGGCGGUUGGGGAUGGACUCGCGGCUUAUCAGCUUGUUGGUGGGGUAGUGGCUUACCAAGGCUGUGACGGGUAGCCGGCCUGAGAGGGUGACCGGCGACAUUGGGACUGAGAUACGGACCAGACUCCUACGGGAGGCAGCAGUGGGGAAUAUUGCACAAUAGGGGGAAGCCUGAUGCAGCAACGCCGCGUGCGGGAUGACGGCCUUCGGGUUGUAAACCGCUUUCGCCUGUGACGAAGAGUGAGUGACGGUAAUGGGUAAAGAAGCACCGGCUAACUACGUG